rnacentral:lncRNA from 1 species
GAUCCGAGUAGUUUGCCGGUAGAUAGUGAUUUGGGUAAUGAAAUAGGAGUGCACGUUUAUAAUGAUAUGGAAGAAAAUAAAGACUUAACAGAACAGGGUAUUAUGUUUGAAAAUGGUUAUAUUCAUAACUUGGAUGAACAUGGUGAAGAUGAUGAAGGUAUAAUUGAUGGAGAUAUAAUUAAUGGAGAUAUAAUUAAUGGAGAUAUGAUUAAUGGAGAUAUGAUUAAUGGAGAUAUGAUNNNNNNNNNNUUAAUGGAGAUAUGAUUAAUGGAGAUAUGAUUAAUGGAGAUAUGAUUGAUGAAGGUGUGAUUAAUGAAGGUGUGAUUAAUGAAGGUAUAAUUGAUGGAGAUAUGAUUGAUGGAGAUAUGAUUGAUGAAGUGGUGGAUGAUGAAGUGGUGGAUGAUGAAGUGGUCGAUGAUGAAGUGGUGGAUGAUGAAGGUAUGAUUGAUGAAGGUGUGAUUAAUGAAGGUAUGCUUGAGCAUAGUAUAAACAACAACGAAUUAGACGAUUCCAGUUCAGACUAUAACAAUUGGGAUAACAAAUCGGAUGAUGAGGAAAGUGAAGAAGAUGAAGAAAUAAACAAUAAUAAUAUUUUAAUUGUUGGUGAUGAGAAUUUAGAAUUUUCAAGAUAUAUAAUUGAAACAUAUCCAGAUUCAAACAUAUUUAUAGCAAGUACUUCAACCGAGUUCGAAAUGAAUUACAUAUUAAAAGAUUUAGAGAGUAAAAAAAACUUAAAAUAUGAAAAUGGUAAUACAAAUAGAGGUAAUAAUGAAAGUGUAAAUGACAAUGCUGCAAAUUUCGAUAUAAAUAAGGAGAAUUAUUUUUUUUAUUAUACUAAAAAAUUUAAAGAAAAAUAUGCAGAUAAAAAUGUAUAUGUAAUGUUUAAUAUAAAUUUAUUCAAUUUAAGAUGUUGUUUCCCAAAUGAUUUUUUCGGAACCGUGUUUUGGGUUUUACCAGGUAAAAAAAAAAAAAAAAAAACUUACAUUAUUAAAGUGAAUGGUAGAAAAAAAAAAAAAAAAAAAAAAACUUACAUUAUUAAAGUGAAUGGUAAAAAAAAAAAAAAAAAAAUUUCAACCACUAAUAUUAAUACACGUUUGUUCACCG